rnacentral:lncRNA from 1 species
CUCAUAUUUGAGCAUGGAGAAAUAGGAAGUGUCCCUUUUCCCCUCUGCUCUUCCUCCAGCAGAGCAAUGUGAUCCACCGGCAAGGAAGGACUCCAAUAAGGCCUCCGAUAAGAUAAGUCUUAUAAAAUAUAUAGAUUUAUGAUAAUUGAGACUUAGCUAACAGAUGAGAAAUCCUAGUCAUUGGCCAUGCAGCAUUUGAACCUAAUACAAGUUUCUGUGUAUUAAUUUGGGCCCUAACUCAGGCGGGAGGCUGGCGUAAAGUACACACAUGGCGAUGGGGUUCAGUGGCUUUUGGUGGAAAUAUUUAUCGUUACAAUCCUAUGCUUUGGCUAUACCAAAUUAUUUGCUAACCUCCAAAUGUCAUUUACUCUCCCUUGCUUUUGUAGUUUUGUAUAUACUCAUUACUGCUCUUGGGGUGGUCCUCUCUUGUGCAAACUUUACACUUCAAAGCUCAUCCUAAGCACCAACUGCUGUCUGCCUCAGCAAAGCCUAGAGAUCAACAAUCAAGUGUUGUGGGAUAUUUGAUCAAACUGUGACAUUCUGAAACUGUGUUAAUAAAGUUAAACUUGGAUCAGGAGGUAGAGCCAACCACCAUUUGACAAGAACUGACCAUGGAGAUUGUGAAGGAUCCAAAAUAUGAUAGAGAGACACAGGAAGGAGUAGGAAGGUGACUUAGAAGAUUCAUGGUUCUUUCCCAUCUGGAAAAUGGGAAGAGAGGAUCGAUUGGUUGUUCCUCCACUGCUUCUUCCAUCGAUCAGGUUUUUAUGCCAGUAUCUGACUCCUGAGUCUUUAUUGAUAAUAGAACAAUUUAGAUAAGCACUCAUUCAAGCUGACAAGCAACCAGCAUAACUAUCUUUGAUUCCUGUCACUAUCGGUAUUCAUCCCGUUAUAUUCUAAUUGUUUGCUUUUCCACCUAUUUUUAAAUCAGGACGGAACUGGAUCAUUAGCCUGCUCCUAGCAAACAAGCCAUUGCUUUCUGUAUGUUUCCAAGUGGAAUGUGAUUUAAAAAAAAAAAAAAAAACCAGUGGGCCUAUGUUGGAUGACUGUAAGCUGCUUUGUUGCUGAAGUUUGUUUCCACUCAUGCAACCAUUAGCCAGAAUCUGUCUCCAGGUGUGCUUGGGGCUGUGCCCUACUGCAGCCACUGUGAAAGGACCUGUUUCCAGCCUGUGCUUCAUGUCCAUUCCCACUGCUUCAGAAUGUACUGUAGACCAGGCAGCCUAUUAACAGUAAAAUUGUAGGUCUUGUAGCUCAGACUGGGUAUUUCCAGCCUCAGAAAUCACCAGAUUUAGUGUCUAUAGAAGUCCUGUUCCCUGGUUCACAGAUGAUUGCCAUCUUACUGAGUCUUUAAAGGGCAAAAGGAACAAAGGAGUUUGGGGUGUGGUUCUUUUAGAAAGGUGUCCAUUGCAUUCAUAAUGGCUCCAUCCUAAUGUCCCAGGAAACUCCCUAAGGUGUACCCUUCCAUUGGGGAUAUGAGUUUGGGGGGGAGAUACAAGCAUUUGGUUCAUAAUAGCCUUUCUCCUAAUUUCUGGGAGCUCCAUGUCUAGUAUCAGAAUAAUUUUGAUAAAUGGAAUUCUUUAUACAUGUAUUUCUCUGUGAUCAAAGUUCCCCUUAUUAUAAGAACACCAUUCAGAGUGGAUUAAGGUUCAGCCUAAAGUCCUUAUUGUAAUUUGUUUGUCUACCCUAUUUCUAGAUAAGAUCACAUUUGCUAAAAAUUCAGUAACUUUGGGGAAUACAAAACUAAAAACAUAAUGUCAUGUGUUUGGCCAAAUGCCUUGCAGUUAUUAGAUGUUCAGUUAAGGUUUAUUAAAAGAUCUUAAAGGCCACUAACAAAAAAAGGAGGAGGAGGAGGAGGAAGAGGAGGAGGAGGAGGAAGGAGGAGGAGGAGGAGGGGAAGGAGGAGGAGGGGAGGAAGAGGAGGAGAGAAGAAGAAGAAGAAGAAGAAGAAGAAGAAGAAGAAGAAGAAGAAGAAGAAGAAGAAGAAGAAGAAGAAGAAGAAGAAGGCGGCUCUUAGCUGGUCUGUUGUAGCUCUGUGAACAAAGAGACAGUGACAUCUCUGCAGGCCUAGUGUGUAGAAAGGCACACAGUGAAGAGGGUCAUUUUCUCCCACACAGAUUUGAGACAGUUCCAUUGGUGUGAGGGGGGGAGGUAUAAUGUCCUAGGGCCCAAUUUAACAUUAAAAGGAGCUGGCUGGUUAUGGCAGUGAUGUCAGGCUAAGAGACUGCAAAUAUUAGCACCCUCCACAAUGCAUCUGCCCACUGGACUUGGCAGAUUCCUCCAGGGCUGGAUGAGUUUUAGCCCACGUCUGUGUUCUGCAUCCCAAGUGAAGGGGCCAUGAGAAGAUACCUCUUAAUCACAGCCUGGUGUGCUGUGACUGUCCAUCAUGCCUCCUGGGACUGGUCCAUUGAAGACUUCUUUGAUUCUUUCUGAGAUAGACAUACUGAGACCCUCUUAGAUGUCAACUACUCUGCAUGCCCUGUGUCAUUCACUAUUAGCUACAGUAACAAGAAAGGGAAAUUUUAAUCUAGUUGGGGGGGUAUGUUACAUAUGCAUAAAAUUAACAAAUUUUAUCUGUAGAAUUUAAGAAAUAAUAAACACAGAAUUUUGAAAACCUAGACUAUUAACCACUGUUAUUGAGACCUCUUUCUAAUUAGCCACUUCACACUGCAGGAGAAACAGCAUGUGGCUGAGUGGAGUAGCAUUUACCUUUAAUCCAAAUACUCUAAAGGCAGAGACAGGAGGAUCUUUUUGAGUUUGAGGCCAGCCUCUUCUGCAUAGGGAGCUCCAGGCCAGCCAGGGCCACACAGUGAGAGCCUGUCUCAAAACACCAAAACUAAACCAAACAAGCAAAUACAAACAGUAUGUGAAGUUUAUGUUAACUAUUCCUGCUCUUUAUAGUUGACCAAGAGUAUUUAAAUACGAGACAUAGUUGAACCAAUUUUCUUCUUUGGAUAAGUAGGAUUACAGUGAUGGCAAUGCAAGUGGCUUGUUUAUCUUUAUUGUGGUCUUUGAGAGUCUCCCAUGCUGAUACAUGCAGCAAUAGCUGGUUCACUUUUUCUGUCCUGUAAAUAUUCCUUUGUGUAAAUGUAUCUAUUCUACUCUCAAUACACAGUUGAAGUAUGGUCAGUUACCACUGUUAUACACAACGUUGCUAGUUAUUUUCUUCUAUGUGUCUUCAAUGUUCAUUUGCAGUUUCUCUAAGCCAUAUAUUGAGACAAAUAAUAGACUUAACAAAUACAGAGUGUGGUGAUUUUGCUAAGAAUGACCUCCAAUAGGCUGAUAGAUUUGAAUGCUUGGUCACCAGGGAGUGGCACUAUUAAGAGGUGUGGACUUGUUGGAGUAGAUGUGGUCUUGGUCUUGUUGGAAGAAGUGUGUCACUAGGGUUGGGCUUUGAGGUUUCAAAAGCCCAAGCCAGGCCUAGUGGCUUUCUCUCUUCCUGCUGCCUGUGGAUUCCUAUGUCGAGCUAUCAUUUUUUCCCACCACCAUGUCUGCCUGCUGCUGCCAUGCUUCCUGCCAUGUUGAUAAUGGACUAACCCUCUGAACCUGUAAGCUAGCUCCAAUUAAAUGUUUUCCUUUAUAAGAGUGGUGGUCAUGGUGUCUGUUCACUGGAAUAGAACACUGACUAAGCCCACAGGUUAAUUUUAUUAUGUAUGGUGAAGGCUUUUUCAAAUGCUUACAUCAAAUUACAUUUCUGCUAACUGUAGGUUAGAAAUCUCAUUUUGUUCCAUAUCCUUGUCAGUUUUUGGAUUUAUCAAAAUUAAUAUUUUUGCCUGACUAGUUUGCAUGAAAUUGUAAUUUUACUAUAGAUUUUCCUGACUUCUGAAAAAAAGAUGCAAACUAAUAAGGAUCAAUUUUCCUCAUUCCUGUCUUAAUUUCCAAUUUUUCUACUAGGUUGUCUUUGUAGUACACAUUAGUAUUCUUUCAGUUGUGGAUGUUUUUAUUUCAUGCACUGGGAUAUUGCAUUCACCUUAAUGAAUUUUCUUUUCUCUUAAUGAUGACCUUGUGAUGACAGAUAUUUAACAGAAUUCAAUUUUCCAUUCUUCUAUGAUUUAUAUUUCUGUAUCUUUCUUUAAAAAAUUCUUCUUUGUCAUUACAACAUCAUAAAGAUAUCUUCCUAAUUUGUCUUCCAAAAGUUUUUUGACUUUGCCUUUUCCAUUUAAGUCUUUAUUCUACUUGGCCUGAUGUCUGUGUAUGGUAAAAGGAGAAAUCUGACUUUAUUGCAUAAGGAUAACUGAUUGACCCAACGCCAUGUAUUUUUCCACAUUAAUCUACAGUGGCUAUUCUAUCUUAGAGUUUCCAUAUGUGCUUUGGAAACUCUACUUAGAGACUUCUGGUUGAUUCCAUUGGCCUAUCUGUUUCUUCAUCUGUACCAGAUAAUUCCUGUUGUUUCAUUAUGCUUUGGCACAUAGUAGAAAAGUCUUUCCAAUUUUUCUUCACCAGAGACUAUUGGCUGUUCUAGACCUCUGCUCUCACAUAGAGAUGUGCUGUCAAGUUCCAGGGAAAUCCCCAAGAGAAUGUAGACUGGAAUUCUCUGGAGUGUUUACAUCUAUCAGUAUGUACACCACGAAUCAUCCUGUGUAUGGGUUGCCACACAGCCCUGUUUUCUAGAUCCUUCUUAAUCUAUUUUAAUGAAGCUUAUUCUUUUCUCCACAAAUUGCUUUCACAUUUUCUGCUUGGAUUUGCUUCUAUAAACAUCUUUGAGUUUUUCCACUAAAACAUACAGGUGGAUUCCUUAGGUCCUGUGAAGUAGUCUCACCGACAGAUAGAGGUCCAAAUUUCUGUUCUUAUGAGAGGAUGAACAUUGGGAUUACUCUUCCUCCAUCUUGUUCUGAGUCCUCUAUUACUACACAAUGACUGUCAUCAGUUCUAAAAGCUCAUUAUGUACUGAAUUUCCUUUUCCAUUAUAUACUUACAUAAUCAAUAUAUUUACUUUAGCUUUCUUUUUAUUUUUUUGACUUUUAUUUAUUUUUUUAUUUUGUGUGUGUAGGUGUCCUUCACAACCAGAAGAAGGCUUCAGAUAACCUGGAACUGAAUAGUUUUGAGCUACCACAUGGGUGCUGGGAAUAAAACCUGAACCUCUGGAAGAGCAGCCAUUGCUCUUUUUUUUUUUUCUUUUUUCUUUUUUUUUUUUUAAUUUGAAUUAGAAACAAGAUUGUUUUACAUAUCAAUCCCAGUUCCCACUCCCUCCUCUCCUCCCCUGCCACCCCCCCCCAACUAAAACCCUACAUAUCACAUAUCCUUUCUGCUCCCCAGGGAGGGUGAGGCCUUCCAUAACGGGUCAUCAGAAUCUAUUGUAUCCUUUGGGAUAGGGCCUAGGCCCACCCCCAUGUGUCUUGGCUCAGGGACUAUCCCUGUAUGUCAGCCAGUGCUCUUAAAAGCUCUGAGCCAUCUCUCCAGUUCUCCUUUAACUUUCUUUUGGUUUCAGUUUCCCUUCCCAUCCUUUAACAUUUUUUUCUGCCUCUUUGUUCUGGGUCUCUCCUUUCCAAACGAUGCCCACAUAGAAUUUAAUUCAUCCUGUAAUAUUGUCUUUUUACUAUAUAUGAUAUAGGUCAUUUAAACUUAUCACAACAAAUGUUAACAUAUUUGAAUUUGUUUCCACCACAGCAUCAUGUGAUCUCUGUUUAGCUUUCUUCUACCUCUCCCAAUCCUACUCCACCCUUGCCUUUUCUGAAUUGUUUUGAUUUUUUUCUUGCCUAUUCUUCAUAUUUCAAUGUUGUUUAAGUGAUUCUAGACACAUACAAUUAGCUUUGCUUUCCCCACAUAGUUAAUAGUACCUUUGUUCAUCACUCCUCUGCAGAAGGCCAUUCUUACAUAAAGGCAAGGAUUAACUACUUAUAGAACAUGUUUUUAGUAUGUCAACAGAAGACUAGAAAUAUUACUCUGCUUUAUUCUGGCUUUCAUUGUCAUUGCUAGAAAGAGGGAAUUAUUGGAACACUAGUCCUUGGAAAGCCACCAGUGUUUGCUCUUUGAUUGUUGCUUAAAUAGUAGCUUGAGAUAUAGUCCUCCUCUAAGGACUGUAAUUCAGUGGUUCCUAGUGUACAUAGUAUGCAAGCACAAUAGCCAGUUAGAAUGUUUUUUUGUUUGUUUGAUUGCUUAAGAUUUAUUUAUUUAUUAUGUAUACAGUGCUCUGCCUCAAUGUAUCCCUGCAGGCCAGAAGAGGGCACUGGAUCUCAUUAUAGAUGGUUGUGUGUCACCAUGUGAUUGUUGGGAAUUGAACUCAGGACCUCUGGAAGAGCAGCCAGUGCUCUUAACCUCUGAGCCAUCUCUACAGCCCAGCUUAGAACAUUUUUAUCACUCCCUGGUAACUUCCCCUUCUCUCCCUCCUUCUUCUUCUUCUUCUUCUUCUUCUUCUUCUUCUUCUUCUUCUUCUUCUUCUUCUUCUUCUUCUUCUCCUCCUCCUCCCCCUCCUCCUCCUCCUCCUUCCCUCCCUCCUCCUCCUCCUCCUCUGUGCCUGGGUUUAUAUGCUCUGUGAAGGGGCUUUAGCAGGCCUGAGCUUGGCAAACAUGGCAGGUCUUUGGUCUCUCCCUUACUAAACCAUAGAUUACAUUCUUAAAACUACCCUCCCCACAAGGUCUAUUCCCUUAUUUGGCCAUUUCUUCCUCCUGAGGCUGACAACCAAGGUCCAAAUGUUGAAGUCCAUCAAUCAAAUCCCCCCCUUUAGCUGCCCUGAUUAACAUGCCCAACCAAAGCUAACUCAUGCUAGCAUGGUUUUCCCCAUGUCACUUUAUAAACUUCCAUUUGCCUACAGGCUGCCACAUCUGUCUCCUCUCAAUUCAGAAGCAGUCCUUUGUCCCUCCAGGGCAAAUAUCCCAUCCCCCCCCCCCAUCUCCCUUGCUCCUUUUCUUCCUCUCUCUUGUCUAUGCCCUGUCUCUGUCCUGGGCAAAUAAAUCUCCUUUGUUCUGAGAGCUUAGUACUGGAGUGUCCUAUGCCAACUCUGGUUGUACAUCAUACAUGAAUGGAAUUACACAGUAUAAAUGGCCUUUGGUGGCUGGCUUCUCUCACUUAAGCACAACCCUUCAAAUGUUUAUUCAUAUAGAAUGCCAGUCCUCCCUCUGAUUUAUGAAUACAUAAUAUUCCUAGUUGUGUAGAUAUACUAUAUUUUGUUUAUUUGUUCAUUGGUUGAUAGGACCAUGGGUUGUUUACAAUCUGGUAUUGAUAGCUAUAAUUUUACUGUGAAUACAAAUCUUCUAGCCCUGUGGGAAUACAUGGUUUUGAAGUAUAUACUUAGACAGUAGAAUUGCAGGGUGUUUUAGUAAUUUGAUGCUUAACACUGUAAGGAUAUCUCAAACUGUUUACCAAAGUGGCUACACAAUUCUUUGAUGGAUUUUAAAUUUUUUAUUAUAAUUUGUAUCUUUCAGUUUUAUUAUUAAAUGUUUAAGUGUGGAUUUUUCCUAAUCUCUCUUGGGCAUCAUUAGAAUUUCUGGAACUAAAUAUGAUAAUUUUCUUAUUGUUUUAUGAAGGAGGGGAAAAAAAGCCUUCAGACAGUAUCUCUUCUAUGUUCUACCAGUUAUUUCCUGUGGGCUGGGAUAUAGCCCAGUUGGAAAAGUGCUUACAUGGUGAUCUGGGUUCCACCCCUAGCACAGCACAAACUGGAUAUAAAGGCACUCGCCUGCAAUCCCAGCAUUCAGGAGGGAGAGACAGAAAGGUCAAUAGUUUGAGGCCAUCCUCAAUAUAUAUAUAUAUGAGGCCAACCUGUGCUGUGGAACAAUCUUUAUAUAUUGUAAAUAUGUAUUAUUCUCAUUGGUUAAUAAAGAGCUGGCUGGCCUAUAGAUGGGCAGGAGAGAUUGGGUGGAAAAGCCAGACUAGGGUGAAGGCUGGGAUGAAGAAGGGUGAAGUCUGAGGAGUCUUGAGCUAGACACAGAGAAAGCAGGCUGUGUAGAAAAUGAAGUAACAAGCCAUGAGCCACAUGGUAGAACUUAGAUAAGAAAUAUGGGUUAAUUUAAGUUAUAAGAGCUAGUUAGUAACAAGCCUAAGCUAAUAGCCAACCAUUUAUAAUUAAUAUUAAGUCUAUGUGGUUAUUUGGGAGUUGGCUGACAGUCUCUGCCUACAAGACUGCCUCAAGAAUAUAAAAAAUAAAUAAAUAAAUAAAGUAUGCUGGCCUUUCAAUUCUAUUUCCAUCUAAUUUUUUUGUUAUUCUUUUAUUUAUCCUUUUGUUAUGUGUUCUAAUUAAUUUAUUUCUGUCUUCCAGUUUGCCAAUUUUCUCUUUAGCUUCAACACUGAUGGGGGAAGUGCUUCUGUGUAUAUGUUCCUCUUAUUAGUUAAUGAAUAAAACACUGCUUGGCUGAUUGGCCAGGCAGGAAGUGACGUAGCUGGGCAGAUUCAGAAUAUAAGCAGGGACAAACAGGAAAUUGCUCUCUCUUCUCUGUAGAGACAAUGAACCAGCCAUCAUCCUGUAGCAGGCAAAGGAGUUGCAAGUCUGGUAAACUAAGACCAUGUGCAAAUACAUGGAUUAGUAGUUAUGGGUUAAUAAUUAAGCUAGAGCUAGCCAAUAAGAAAGCAUAGCCAGCAGCUAACAGCUUUAUAACUAAUAUAGCGUCUGCAUGUUUCUUUGGGGCAGAAAAACACAGUGGGACCCUGCCAGGCCAGAAAACUCACGUUACAAAAUGGUGCCAGCAACGUGUGGCAUGAAUUUCCACAUAGAACAACAAAAGCUUAAAAGGGAUUUUAGAAACAAAAGAACAAAGACAAGCAUGGCUUCUUGGUAGCAGCAUUUUCUUGGGUGGGCUCUGUUUUGCUAGAGACAAGCAGAGACUCAUGUGGCUCCUUUAAGGGAGGUUUUCUGACUCAGCAUAAAUGGAAAAACUACAUGUCUCUUUUAAGAGACUCUGCUAACAAUUGAAUGGUGUGUUCGAGCAGCUGGUAGUGACAGUAACCACAUCGCCUAGCUGGCAGCAUGCUGCUUGAUGGCAGCAUAGACCAAGGAGCUGGGCACAGCUCUCAGUACUGGCAGUAAACAUACCUCUGCCAUCUUGGAAAGACAGUGACUAAAACAGCCUCGGCUUUAAUUUUAGCAAUGUUGUUUAGCAGAUAAAAGACUCAUGGCUAGAAAAAGAUAAAGACUUACAGUAAAGACAGAUUCAGAUGAAGUAAAACCUCUAAAAGGUUUACAGUGUGUUUAAAAAUAUACAUAGGCUUGUGAGAGAAACAGGAUAACGUGGUUAAAAAAAGAAAAGAAAAGAAAUAGAGUAUCUGGGUGUGGUGGCACACGCCUUUAAUCUCAGCACUUGGGAGACAGAAGCAAGCAGAUCUCUGUGAUUUCAAGGCCAGCUAGGUGUACAGAGUGAAUUCCUGGGCAGCCAAAGUUACACAAAAACACUUUCUCAUAAAAGGAAAAAUAAAAGUAGAAGAAAUAGAGUGAUAAUAAUAAAUAGAUAAAUAAGCCACAUAAAAAUGGAAAAUAUACAGAGAAUAUGGAUACUAUAUGAUAUUGUGUUGUCUUUGAAUUGUUUGACUGCUGAGAAAAUAGCAACAACUGCUAAAAGAAAUGCUGCUAGAUUAAUCCAAUUUAUUUAUUUUAAAAAUGCCUUGGCUUCAAAUUUUAAGUAUAAGGAUGGAUAUGUUACUUUGGAAAAGAAAUUUUAUUUGUGUUUCCACAGAAAAUGAAAAGCUGUGUAUUCCUUCCAGACUACUACGGUUUGAUGAAGCAAGACCCUUGAACCAAUGGCCAGGUGAUCCAACAUUGAAGACACCUGGGAUGCAGUCACAGACCGCUACAGCCAGGAUUUCUGGGUCUUCUUAGGAUCCUCAAGGCAGCGCCCCUGAACAAUAGGAAGUAGUUUGGAAAGCAUGACACCCACAUUGCCAAAUAUUGUUUAUAAAUGUUUGUUUUUUUAUAUGAGGUUGAUUAUAAAUGGUUAAUGAUUACAGUUAGUCUCCUAAAAAGGGGGGGGGGGUGAUGUAGAAAUGAAUACUUUGCACUUUGCAUUGUUAUGGAUUCUCAUUUGUUGAUACAAAUUUAAGGUCAAUUUUGUUAUAUGUAUAUUUCUUCUUUUGUUAUACAGCUCUUUUAAAAAUGUAAUGUAUAAUUAAAUAAGAUGAUAGUCACCUAUAAUAGUCAACUUAUGUUAAUUAGGUUUUCUAAAUAUAAAAAGAUAUUUCAAAUGGAUAGAUAUUCUUCAAACCUUUCAAAGACCUUCAGAAUAUGCCAUUCAAAAUGGUUUAAGGUUUUUCAUGACAGUGAGACACAACUGCUCCUGACACAGCAAUUACUCAGAAAGGAGGCUGGCAUUGAAGAAACUCAAAAUGGAGUUUGCCUUCAACAGGCAAGUUUAGCCAUUUGGGCAAGAAACUGCUCUUACCUGGACUCUUUCAUAGACUGGACAUGCAGGACCCACAGGAAAGUGGCUACUGAGUUUGCCAAAACAGGACAGUCCUGAAGGGUUCCUGCUUCAUGUAAGAUUCUGCCAGAUAUUCUGCAGGACACAGAAAAUUGACUGAUAAACUGACAAUGCAGGUGGACAGUUUCAAAUUUCCUGCUUUGCUGAGAAGUCUGCCAGACACACUAUGGUCAAUGUGCUGGAAGUGGAUGCCCCAACAUUUCAGAAGAACUUCAGGUGACUGUCCAGGAGAAUGCCUGACUCACAUCCUCUCUUCCCAGGCUCCCAUGAUGACUUCUCUCUGCCUACACUUCCCAGAAUUAUCCUCGUCUCCUAGCCACACCUAUCUUCCUGCCUGGCCAAUCAGUAUUUUAUUCAUCAACCAAUAAGAGAAACAUAUACAGAAAAACAUCUCAUCACUCCUUCUGCAACUCCCUGUUCUUGGGACGUUGCUUUGUCUCACAGGACACUGCUCAUCAGCUUUGUCUUGUCCCUGCUGCUUUCUGUAGUCACCAGGCCACAUCUGGAUCAGGGGUUGUAUUUGAGAAAGGAACUAUAGACCAUCUGGACCCAACACAUACACAGAAAAUAAAAAUAAAUAUACCUCUUUG